rnacentral:rRNA from 1 species
UACGAAGGGGGCUAGCGUUGUUCGGAUUUACUGGGCGUAAAGCGCACGUAGGCGGAUCGUUAAGUCGGGGGUGAAAUCCUGGAGCUCAACUCCAGAACUGCCUUCGAUACUGGCGAUCUAGAGUCCGGAAGAGGUGAGUGGAACUCCUAGUGUAGAGGUGGAAUUCGUAGAUAUUAGGAAGAACACCAGUGGCGAAGGCGGCUCACUGGUCCGGGUACCUGACGCUGAGGUGCGAAAGCGUGGGGAGCAAACAGG